ACACUUCUUUCUAGACCGACAGACGAGGGACAAAAGUAAUCGGCGAAAUAGGCGUUAGACCCGUGGUUCGCAAACGCCAGCGUGCUUCAGGGUCACCUGGAGGAUUUGUUAAAAUCCAGAUUGCCGGGUCCAUCCCCGACUUUCUGAUUCACAAGGCCUGGCAAAGGACCUAAGGAUUUGCGUUCUAACAAGUUCUCAGGUGAUGCUGACGUUGCUGGUCCAGGAACCACCCUCUGACACCACUGCCUUAGAAGCUGAGAGUCAGACACGGCCUGGUUUGAUUCCUGUUCUGUUUCCCGCACCUGUGAGCUUAGCCUCACUUUCUACGUCCAUACACGGGACAAUAACCCAGGGCGGACUAUGGGAUGAAAUGAGAUUCUAAGUAAGUGCUCGGCAGUGUCUGACAGACAGUAGGGUCCUUGCCCAACAACAACACCCUGGCUGCCCGGCUCUCCCGUCGUCCUGCACUGUUGGUGGCCACGCACAUAUAGGUCCCUGCGUCACUCUUCUCUGCUCUUGCCAUCAGCAGGGAACCUCUGGACACCUGUCAGGACCAGGACCACCCCCAACCCAGGUCUCCCCGCCCAGGGCUCACCAGCCACAGACAGCCGAGCGCCCCGGCUGACUGCCGUGCCCAGCCGGUUGCUGGCCUCACACGUGUAGACACCCAGGUCUGUGGACAGGACCUGGUCAUCGUGGGCACGUCCCCGGGGAGGGGGCCGCAGCAGCAGGAGGGUUCCGUCAGAUGCAGACCAAGACUGAUUAAGACAAUUAGAGCAAGAGAACACUGUGGUCUCUCCAAACUGGGCAUUUCCAAGGGUCCAAGCAUCCAGGGCACUCAGGGAUCCGUGGAGUGAUGGCCGAGGGGACUUCCCAACAGUGAGGUAUGUCUGGGUGGCUCUCAGAGACCACAGCGAUCAUUUCCAGCAACAUGUCCCAUCGGCAUCCUGACUGUCUCAUUUCCACACGCUAAGGAAGGGCCGACUGCGUGAGUCAUGGGCAUGACGUUAGUCCAUGGGACCCGCCUCCAACUAUUUCAAGGAAGCUCUGCUCUGGGACCCUGGGGAUGUGCUGGCCAGUGACCAGUUUAAAUACUAUCUUCCUUCACCCCCUAGUUUUAGAGUUUUGGGUUUUUGUGAGUAACCCUUUCAUUGCUUGUAAGAGGGAAGAGAGAGGAGAGAGAUUAGAUGCUCUUCAAGGACCCUCCAGAGGACAUUUUUUUUCUCCUGGUUUCUCUGGCGUCUUAUUCUGUGUUUUCUGAAAAUGCAGCCCAGGGACUCCUGCUGGUCAAGCCGGUGGGGUAAACAGUACUAAUUCAGGUGGGAUUUGAUGUCUCUUCGUAUUUUCUAGAAAAGCAUUAAAAUCAUUACCGGUGACAUGUGCUCCUCGUGACUCGCAGCAAGGCUUUGCCAAAAUGUGUGCUUGACCACAGCACCCUCCUUCACUAAAAUCAUAUCCAACACUGAGCGUCCUCCUUGCUUCUGGAGCAGUCCCUCGGGGCUGUCUGAAGUGCUUUCUCCUAGGCUGCAGUCCUCAUUUUGCCCCAAAUAAAACUUAACUCACAACUCUCAAGUUUUGCAUUUUCUUUUCAGUCAACAAGAUCUUCUCUUUGUCCUUGGUAUACUCUAGCUUUACUACAUUUUAUGUAGGUGUGGAAAUCUUUUAAGAUAUCUUGUGUGUCAACCUUCUUGAAUCUGUAUAUUCAUGUUUGUCAUGAGUUCUACAAAAAUUUCAGUCAUUACUCUUAAAAUAUUGUCUCUUCUCCAUCUCUCUAUUCUCCACUUUGAGCUCUUGAGGAAAUGUGUGUCAGACCUUUUCAUGCUACAUGCCGUAUCCCUUAAUCUCUCUUCUCAUAUAUUUCAUCUCCUUGUCUGUCUGUGCCUAAUUCUGAAUAAUUUCUUCAGGUACAACUUUCAGUUAACUAACUCUCUUCAGCUGUUUUUAAUGUGCUGUUAAACUCUUUCAUUUUUAUUUCAAUAAAUUAUAUUUUUAUGUAUGAGUUCUAUUUGUUCCUUUUCAAAUUUGAUCACUUUUGAUAGUCUCUUGUUGCUUGUU